rnacentral:rRNA from 1 species
GACGAACGCUGGCGGCGUGCCUAAUACAUGCAAGUCGAGCGGAACUGGGGGAGCUUGCUCCUUCCAGUUUAGCGGCGGACGGGUGAGUAACACGUGGGCAACCAGCCCUGCAGAUCGGGAUAACUCCGGGAAACCGGUGCUAAUACCGAAUAGUUUGGCGCCUCUCCUGAGGCGCUACGGAAAGACGGUUUCGGCUGUCACUGCAGGAUGGGCCGGCGUGGCGUUAGCUAGUUGGUGGGGUAACGGCCCACCAAGGCGACGAUGCGUAGCCGACCUGAGAGGGUGACCGGCCACACUGGGACUGAGACACGGCCCAGACUCCUACGGGAGGCAGCAGUAGGGAAUCUUCCGCAAUGGACGCAAGUCUGACGGAGCAACGCCGCGUGAGUGACGAAGGUUUUCGGAUCGUAAAACUCUGUUGUGAGGGAAGAACACGUACCAACUAACUAUUGGUACCUUGACGGUACCUCACCAGAAAGCCACGGCUAACUACGUGCCAGCCGCCGCUGUAA